rnacentral:rRNA from 1 species
AUUGAACGCUGGCGGCAUGCCUAACACAUGCAAGUCGAACGAGUGGCGGACGGGUGAGUAAUGUAUGGGAACGUGCCUGAUGGAGGGGGAUAACUACUGGAAACGGUGGCUAAUACCGCAUACCAUCAGAUCUGCCCAGAUGGGAUUAGCUUGUUGGUGGGGUAACGGCUCACCAAGGCGAAGAUCCCUAGCUGGUCUGAGAGGAUGACCAGCCACACUGGGACUGAGACACGGCCCAGACUCCUACGGGAGGCAGCAGUGGGGAAUAUUGCACAAUGGGCGAAAGCCUGAUGCAGCCAUGCCGCGUGUAUGAAGAAGGCCUUCGGGUUGUAAAGUACUUUUAGCGGGGAGGCGGUACCUGCAGAAGAAGCACCGGCUAACUCCGUGCCAGCAGCCGCGGUAAUUC